GCAGGCACGUGCCGUGAGUAAUUAGUCAGGGUAGGCAUUGGCUUUAAAAAAUCUUGGAAACUGCGCAUGCACAGAUUGUUCUCUCGACUUUUAUCAAGCAAUUUGUCUUCAAUAGGUCCUAUCUCUUAAUAAAGUAUUUAAAAACAUAUAGCUCAAA